rnacentral:sRNA from 1 species
CCCUUCCCACAGACACACCCCGGGACUGUGGUGACAGUGCUCGAUCUCUUCGAUGGGAGAGAGAGCUUGCGACCCCUGUGGGAACAGGUGCAAGGGUUCCGAGAGGCUGUGGUCCCCAUCAUGGCAAAGGCCCCUCAAGGGGUGCAUCUCAUCUGCUACUCGCAGGGGGGCCUUGUGUGCCGGGCUCUGCUUUCUGUCAUGGAUGAUCACAACGUGGAUUCUUUCAUCUCCCUCUCCU